CAUGGCUCAGAUUGAACGCUGGCGGCAGGCCUAACACAUGCAAGUCGAACGGUAACAGGAAGCAGCUUGCUGCUUUGCUGACGAGUGGCGGACGGGUGAGUAAUGUCUGGGAAACUGCCUGAUGGAGGGGGAUAACUACUGGAAACGGUGGCUAAUACCGCAUAACGUCGCAAGACCAAAGAGGGGGACCUUCGGGCCUCUUGCCAUCAGAUGUGCCCAGAUGGGAUUAGCUUGUUGGUGAGGUAACGGCUCACCAAGGCGACGAUCCCUAGCUGGUCUGAGAGGAUGACCAGCCACACUGGAACUGAGACACGGUCCAGACUCCUACGGGAGGCAGCAGUGGGGAAUAUUGCACAAUGGGCGCAAGCCUGAUGCAGCCAUGCCGCGUGUAUGAAGAAGGCCUUCGGGUUGUAAAGUACUUUCAGCGGGGAGGAAGGUGUUGUGGUUAAUAACCGCAGCAAUUGACGUUACCCGCAGAAGAAGCACCGGCUAACUCCGUGCCAGCAGCCGCGGUAAUACGGAGGGUGCAAGCGUUAAUCGGAAUUACUGGGCGUAAAGCGCACGCAGGCGGUCUGUCAAGUCGGAUGUGAAAUCCCCGGGCUCAACCUGGGAACUGCAUUCGAAACUGGCAGGCUUGAGUCUUGUAGAGGGGGGUAGAAUUCCAGGUGUAGCGGUGAAAUGCGUAGAGAUCUGGAGGAAUACCGGUGGCGAAGGCGGCCCCCUGGACAAAGACUGACGCUCAGGUGCGAAAGCGUGGGGAGCAAACAGGAUUAGAUACCCUGGUAGUCCACGCCGUAAACGAUGUCUACUUGGAGGUUGUGCCCUUGAGGCGUGGCUUCCGGAGCUAACGCGUUAAGUAGACCGCCUGGGGAGUACGGCCGCAAGGUUAAAACUCAAAUGAAUUGACGGGGGCCCGCACAAGCGGUGGAGCAUGUGGUUUAAUUCGAUGCAACGCGAAGAACCUUACCUGGUCUUGACAUCCACAGAACUUUCCAGAGAUGGAUUGGUGCCUUCGGGAACUGUGAGACAGGUGCUGCAUGGCUGUCGUCAGCUCGUGUUGUGAAAUGUUGGGUUAAGUCCC
rnacentral:rRNA from 1 species